rnacentral:sRNA from 1 species
AGUAAAAGUCGUAACAAGGUUUCCGUAGGUGAACCUGCGGAAGGAUCAUUAUAAGAGAGCGUACCGGUCCCGCUCCCGCGCGGGUCCCGUCACCUCCUAACCCCUCGUCUACCCCAUCCAGCGCUCUGGCGGGCGCUGCAACCUUUUUAAAUUCUCUGCGGUUAGUCCGCAAAACGAAGAGGAAUGUUUUCAAAAAACUUUCAACAACGGAUCUCUUGGUUCUGGCAUCGAUGAAGAACGCAGCGAAAUGCGAUAAGUGAUGUGAAUUGCAGAAUUCCGUGAAUCAUCGAAUCUUUGAACGCACCUUGCGCCCACUGGCAUUCCGGUGGGCAUGCCUGUUCGAGCGUCAUUACAACCAUCAAGCGCCGCUUGGUAUUGGGAGUCUUGCGUCCGUAUCGCGGACGCUCCCUAAAGUAUUGGGCAGCCUCGUCCGGCCUCAGACGUAGCGGAAAUCUGGUGAUCUGUCCGAUCAACACGUCUAGGGGUUCUGUGACGUCAGGCUCCGCCAAAAUUGCAUGAGAAUCUCUAAACAUUGACCUCGGAUCAGGUAGGAGUACCCGCUGAACUUAAGCAUAUCAAUAAGCGGAGGAAAAGAAACCAACCAGGGAUUGCCCCAGUAACGGCGAGUGAA